rnacentral:rRNA from 1 species
AGAGUUUGAUCCUGGCUCAGAUUGAACGCUGAUGCUUUACACUGCAAGUCGAACGGUAACAGGCCUUCGGGCGCUGACGAGUGGCGAACGGGUGAGUAAUGCAUCGGAACGUGCCCAGAGGUGUGGGAUAACGCAGCGAAAGCUGUGCUAAUACCGCAUAUUAUCUGAGGAUGAAAGCGGGGGACUUUGGCCUCGCGCCUUUGGAGCGGCCGAUGUCAGAUUAGGUAGUUGGUGGGGUAAAGGCCUACCAAGCCGACGAUCUGUAGCUGGUCUGAGAGGACGACCAGCCACACUGGGACUGCCUACCAAGCCGACGAUCUGUAGCUGGUCUGAGAGGACGACCAGCCACACUGGGACUGCCUACCAAGCCGACGAUCUGUAGCUGGUCUGAGAGGACGACCAGCCACACUGGGACUGAACACGGCCCAGACUCCUACGGGAGGCAGCAGUGGGGAAUUUUGGACAAUGGGCGCAAGCCUGAUCCAGCAAUGCCGCGUGCAGGAAGAAGGCCUUCGGGUUGUAAACUGCUUUUGUACGGAACGAAAAGGCUCUGGUUAAUACCUGGGGCUCAUGACGGUACCGUAAGAAUAAGCACCGGCUAACUACGUGCCAGCAGCCGCGGUAAUACGUAGGGUGCAAGCGUUAAUCGGAAUUACUGGGCGUAAAGCGUGCGCAGGCGGUGAUGUAAGACAGGCGUGAAAUCCCCGGGCUCAACCUGGGAAUGGCGCUUGUGACUGCAUCGCUGGAGUGCGGCAGAGGGGGAUGGAAUUCCGCGUGUAGCAGUGAAAUGCGUAGAUAUGCGGAGGAACACCGAUGGCGAAAGGCAAUCCCCUGGGGCCUGCACUGACGCUCAUGCACGAAAGCGUGGGGAGCAAACAGGAUUAGAUACCCUGGUAGUCCACGCCCUAAACGAUGUCAACUGGUUGUUGGGUCUUAGCUGACUCAGUAACGAAGCUAACGCGUGAAGUUGACCGCCUGGGGAGUACGGCCGCAAGGUUGAAACUCAAAGGAAUUGACGGGACCCGCACAAGCGGUGGAUGAUGUGUUUAUCGAUGCACGCGAAA